AAAUUGAAGAGUUUGAUCAUGGCUCAGAUUGAACGCUGGCGGCAGGCCUAACACAUGCAAGUCGAACGGUAACAGGAAGCAGCUUGCUGCUUCGCUGACGAGUGGCGGACGGGUGAGUAAUGUCUGGGAAACUGCCUGAUGGAGGGGGAUAACUACUGGAAACGGUAGCUAAUACCGCAUAAUGUCGCAAGACCAAAGAGGGGGACCUUCGGGCCUCUUGCCAUCGGAUGUGCCCAGAUGGGAUUAGCUUGUUGGUGGGGUAACGGCUCACCAAGGCGACGAUCCCUAGCUGGUCUGAGAGGAUGACCAGCCACACUGGAACUGAGACACGGUCCAGACUCCUACGGGAGGCAGCAGUGGGGAAUAUUGCACAAUGGGCGCAAGCCUGAUGCAGCCAUGCCGCGUGUAUGAAGAAGGCCUUCGGGUUGUAAAGUACUUUCAGCGGGGAGGAAGGGAGUAAAGUUAAUACCUUUGCUCAUUGACGUUACCCGCAGAAGAAGCACCGGCUAACUCCGUGCCAGCAGCCGCGGUAAUACGGAGGGUGCAAGCGUUAAUCGGAAUUACUGGGCGUAAAGCGCACGCAGGCGGUUUGUUAAGUCAGAUGUGAAAUCCCCGGGCUCAACCUGGGAACUGCAUCUGAUACUGGCAAGCUUGAGUCUCGUAGAGGGGGGUAGAAUUCCAGGUGUAGCGGUGAAAUGCGUAGAGAUCUGGAGGAAUACCGGUGGCGAAGGCGGCCCCCCUGGACGAAGACUGACGCUCAGGUGCGAAAGCGUGGGGAGCAAACAGGAUUAGAUACCCUGGUAGUCCACGCCGUAAACGAUGUCGACUUGGAGGUUGUGCCCUUGAGGCGUGGCUUCCGGAGCUAACGCGUUAAGUCGACCGCCUGGGGAGUACGGCCGCAAGGUUAAAACUCAAAUGAAUUGACGGGGGCCCGCACAAGCGGUGGAGCAUGUGGUUUAAUUCGAUGCAACGCGAAGAACCUUACCUGGUCUUGACAUCCACAGAACUUUCCAGAGAUGGAUUGGUGCCUUCGGGAACUGUGAGACAGGUGCUGCAUGGCUGUCGUCAGCUCGUGUUGUGAAAUGUUGGGUUAAGUCCCGCAACGAGCGCAACCCUUAUCCUUUGUUGCCAGCGGUCCGGCCGGGAACUCAAAGGAGACUGCCAGUGAUAAACUGGAGGAAGGUGGGGAUGACGUCAAGUCAUCAUGGCCCUUACGACCAGGGCUACACACGUGCUACAAUGGCGCAUACAAAGAGAAGCGACCUCGCGAGAGCAAGCGGACCUCAUAAAGUGCGUCGUAGUCCGGAUUGGAGUCUGCAACUCGACUCCAUGAAGUCGGAAUCGCUAGUAAUCGUGGAUCAGAAUGCCACGGUGAAUACGUUCCCGGGCCUUGUACACACCGCCCGUCACACCAUGGGAGUGGGUUGCAAAAGAAGUAGGUAGCUUAACCUUCGGGAGGGCGCUUACCACUUUGUGAUUCAUGACUGGGGUGAAGUCGUAACAAGGUAACCGUAGGGGAACCUGCGGUUGGAUCACCUCCUUA
rnacentral:rRNA from 1 species